UACGAAGGGGGCUAGCGUUGCUCGGAAUUACUGGGCGUAAAGGGAGCGUAGGCGGAUAGUUAAGUCAGAGGUGAAAGCCCAGGGCUCAACCUUGGAAUUGCCUUUGAUACUGGCUAUCUUGAGUAUGGGAGAGGUUAGCGGAACUCCGAGUGUAGAGGUGAAAUUCGUAGAUAUUCGGAAGAACACCAGUGGCGAAGGCGGCUAACUGGCCCAUUACUGACGCUGAGGCGCGACAGCGUGGGGAGCAAACAGG
rnacentral:rRNA from 1 species